GGUCUUAAUGCAGUCGAGCGAUGAAGAGGAGCUUGCUCCUCUGAUUUAGCGGCGGACGGGUGAGUAACACGUGGGUAAUCUGCCUGUAAGACGGGGAUAACUCCGGGAAACCGGGGCUAAUACCGGAUAAUAAGAAGAAACGCAUGUUUCUUUUUUGAAAGUCGGUUUCGGCUGACACUUACAGAUGAGCCCGCGGCGCAUUAGCUAGUUGGUGAGGUAACGGCUCACCAAGGCGACGAUGCGUAGCCGACCUGAGAGGGUGAUCGGCCACACUGGGACUGAGACACGGCCCAGACUCCUACGGGAGGCAGCAGUAGGGAAUCUUCGGCAAUGGGCGAAAGCCUGACCGAGCAACGCCGCGUGAGCGAUGAAGGCCUUCGGGUCGUAAAGCUCUGUUGUUAGAGAAGAACAAGUACGAGAGUAACUGCUCGUACCUUGACGGUACCUAACCAGAAAGCCACGGCUAACUACGUGCCAGCAGCCGCGGUAAUACGUAGGUGGCAAGCGUUAUCCGGAAUUAUUGGGCGUAAAGCGCGCGCAGGCGGUCUCUUAAGUCUGAUGUGAAAGCCCACGGCUCAACCGUGGAGGGUCAUUGGAAACUGGGAGACUUGAGUGCAGGAGAGAAAAGUGGAAUUCCACGUGUAGCGGUGAAAUGCGUAGAGAUGUGGAGGAACACCAGUGGCGAAGGCGGCUUUUUGGCCUGUAACUGACGCUGAGGCGCGAAAGCGUGGGGAGCAAACAGGAUUAGAUACCCUGGUAGUCCACGCCGUAAACGAUGAGUGCUAGGUGUUGGGGGGUUCCACCCUCAGUGCUGAAGUUAACACAUUAAGCACUCCGCCUGGGGAGUACGACCGCAAGGUUGAAACUCAAGGAAUUGACGGGGGCCCGCACAAGCAGUGGAGCAUGUGGUUUAAUUCGAAGCAACGCGAGAA
rnacentral:rRNA from 1 species